rnacentral:snRNA from 1 species
GUGCUCACUUUGGCAGCACAUGUACUAAAAUUGGAACGAUACAGAGAAGAAUAGAAUGGCCCCUGCGCAAGGAUGACACGCAAAUUCGUGAAGCAUUCCAUAUUUUU